rnacentral:rRNA from 1 species
GAUGAAGGACGUGGUAAGCUGCGAUAAGCCAUGGUUAGCCGCAAACAGGCGUUAACCCAUGGAUCUCCGAAUGGGGCAACCCUCCCGUUUACGGGAACUGCCGGAUGAAUUCAUAGUCCGUCAGAGCGAAACGAGGUGAAGUGAAACAUCUCAGUAACCUCAGGAAAAGAAAACACAGUGAUUCCGUCAGUAGUGGCGAGCGAACGCGGAUUAGCCCAAACCGAAUUGAUUUAUCAAUCCGGGGUUGCGGGACCUUAAUGUGUAACAAAUGCAACUAGCUCAAUGAUCUGGAAAGAUCAGCCAAAGACCGUGAUAGCCGGGUGAGUCGUGUGGCAAAUGUUGCUAGAGGUAUCCCAAGUAGUGCGGUGCACGUGAAACUCCGCGCGAAUCUGUCCAGACCACUGGAUAAGGCUAAAUACUCCUUAGCGACCGAUAGUGAACUAGUACCGCGAGGGAAAGGCGAAAAGAACCCCUGCUAGGGGAGUGAAAUAGAUCCUGCAACCCGCUGCCUACAAUGUGUGGGAGCUUCGUAAGAAGUGACCGCCUGCCUUUUGCAUAAUGAGUCUGCGAGUUAUUGUCAGUGGCCAGCAUUAGCCUCCAUGAGGUGGAUGCGAAGCGAAAGCGAGUACGAAAUGUGCGUCCAGUCGCUGGCAAUAGACCCGAAGCGGAGGUGAUCUACUCUUGAGCAGGUUGAAACCAAGGUAACACUUGGUGAAGGACCGAACUCGUGGAUGUUGAAAAAUCCUGAGAUGACUUGAGAGUAGGAGCGAAAGACUAAUCAAACCCCGUGAUAGCUGGUUCUCUCCGAAAUCGCUUGAGGGCGAGCGUUGGGAAAGUAAACCGUGGAGGUAGAGCACUGGAUGGCUUAGGGUCCCUACCGGGAUGCCAAAACCAAUCAAACUCCGAAUUCCACGGGCUCCAUUACCCCAGCAUUCAGACGGCGAGGGAUAAGCUUCGUCGUCGAGAGGGCAACAGCCCAGAUCUGCAGCUAAGGUGCCUAAACAUGGUUAAGUGGAAAGGAUGUGACGUUACAUAGACAGUGAGGAUGUUGGCUUAGAGGCAGCCACCAUUUAAACAGUGCGUAACAGCUGACUCAUCGAGUGAUGUCGCGCCGAAAAUGAUUGGCGAUUAAAUCAUGUACCGAAGCUCAGAAAACCAACACGAUUCGUCGAGUUGGUUUGGUAGGAGAGCGUAACCCGUGCUGCGAAGGUAAUCCGGAAGGAAAACUGGAGCGCUGGUUAGUGAGAAUGCAGACACGAGUAGCGAUAAACCAGAUGAGAAUUCUGGUCGCCGUAAACCCAAGGUUUCCUGGGCCAGGUUCGUCCUCCCAGGGUUAGUCGGGAGCUAAGAUGAGGUCGUAAGACGUAAUCGAUGCACAGCCGGUCAACAUUCCGGCACCGAACCGGGUCAAACCGAUGAUGACGCAUGGUGGAACGCAGCAAGGUCAUUGAAAGACCUAGCUUAGGAGCAAUCCGAAGCAAGCUGCCGGAAGCUGUGCCUAGAAAAGUCGUCGGCCCUUUCCCGGUCGCCCGUACCGUAAACCGACACAGGUGGGUGGGUGUAAGUGCACCAAGGCGCGCGAGAGAGCCCUCUCUAAGGAACUCGGCACAUUAGCCCCGUAACUUCGGGAGAAGGGGUGCUCACUUCGGUGAGCCACAGUAAAUUGCGUUUAGCGACUGUUUAACAAAAACACAGCACUCUGCCACGUCAUUAAGACAACGUAUAGGGUGUGACAAGUGACCAAUGCGGGAAGAUCAAGGCAAGGGGUUAGCCGUAAGGCGAAGCUCUGAACCUAAGUCCCCGUGAAUGUCGGCCGUAACUAUAACGGUCCUAAGGUAGCGAAAUUCCUUGUCGGGUAAGUUCCGACCUGCACGAAUCUUGUAACGACUGAACGACUGUCUCGGAGAGGUUCUC